CAGUAGCCGCGGUAAUACAGAGGGUGCAAGCGUUAAUCGGAAUUACUGGGCGUAAAGCGCGCGUAGGUGGUUCGCCAAGUUGGAUGUGAAAUCCCCGGGCUCAACCUGGGAACUGCAUCCAAAACUGGCGAGCUAGAGUAUGGUAGAGGGUGGUGGAAUUUCCUGUGUAGCGGUGAAAUGCGUAGAUAUAGGAAGGAACAUCAGUGGCGAAGGCGACCACCUGGACUGAUACUGACACUGAGGUGCGAAAGCGUGGGGAGCAAACAGGAUUAGAUACCCGCGUAGUCCCUGUCUCUUAUAC
rnacentral:rRNA from 1 species